rnacentral:rRNA from 1 species
UACGUAGGGUGCAAGCGUUGUCCGGAAUUAUUGGGCGUAAAGAGCUUGUAGGCGGUUUGUCGCGUCUGCUGUGAAAUUUCGGGGCUCAACCCCGAACUUGCAGUGGGUACGGGCAGACUAGAGUGUGGUAGGGGAGACUGGAAUUCCUGGUGUAGCGGUGAAAUGCGCAGAUAUCAGGAGGAACACCGGUGGCGAAGGCGGGUCUCUGGGCCGUAACUGACGCUGAGGAGCGUAAGCGUGGGGAGCGAACAGG